AGGGGCAGCGGGAAGGUUAGCUUGCUAACCUUUGCUGGCGACCGGCGCACGGGUGAGUAACACGUAUGCAACCUGUCCGGUACAGGGGGAUAAGCGGCGGAAACGCCGUCUAAUACCGCGUGACAACCCGAGGGGGCAUCCCCUUGGGUUCAAAGGAGAGAUCCGGUACCGGCUGGGCAUGCGGCGCAUUAGCUAGUUGGCGGGGCAACGGCCCACCAAGGCGACGAUGCGUAGGGGUUCUGAGAGGAAGGUCCCUCACACUGGAACUGAGACACGGUCCAGACUCCUACGGGAGGCAGCAGUGAGGAAUAUUGGUCAAUGGGCGCAAGCCUGAACCAGCCAAGUCGCGUGAGGGAAGACGGCCCUACGGGUUGUAAACCUCUUUUGCCGGGGAGCAAGCCUGAGCACGUGUGCCCAGGCGGAGAGUACCCGGAGAAAAAGCAUCGGCUAACUCCGUGCCAGCAGCCGCGGUAAUACGGAGGAUGCGAGCGUUAUCCGGAUUUAUUGGGUUUAAAGGGUGCGCAGGCGGGCUGUUAAGCCGGCGGUAAAAAUUCAGGGCUCAACCCUGGCGAGCCGUCGGAACUGGCAGUCUUGAGUGGGCGAGAAGUAUGCGGAAUGCGUGGUGUAGCGGUGAAAUGCAUAGAUAUCACGCAGAACGCCGAUUGCGAAGGCAGCAUACCGGCGCCCAACUGACGCUGAGGCACGAAAGCGUGGGGAUCGAACAGGAUUAGAUACCCUGGUAGUCCACGCAGUAAACGAUGAGCGCUAACUGUCCGGAGCGAGCGAGCUCUGGGUGGUACAGUGAAAACGUUAAGCGCUCCACCUGGGGAGUACGCCGGCAACGGUGAAACUCAAAGGAAUUGACGGGGGCCCGCACAAGCGGAGGAACAUGUGGUUUAAUUCGAUGAUACGCGAGGAACCUUACCCGGGCUCAAACGUAAGCGGAAUAACGGUGAAAGCCGUUAGCUAUUUAUGGCCGCUUACGAGGUGCUGCAUGGUUGUCGUCAGCUCGUGCCGUGAGGUGUCGGCUUAAGUGCCAUAACGAGCGCAACCCCCAUCGCCAGUUGCUAACAAGUAACGUUGAGGACUCU
rnacentral:rRNA from 1 species